UGUGUGUGGAGGUGUCCCUCAGCCUGGAAUGUGAGGGGGCGCAGGACAGGCUGAGGGACCCCAUCGGUGCACA
rnacentral:pre_miRNA from 1 species